rnacentral:rRNA from 1 species
UACGGGGGGGGCAAGCGUUGUUCGGAAUUACUGGGCGUAAAGGGCGCGUAGGCGGCCUUCUAAGUCGGACGUGAAAUCCCUCGGCUUAACCGAGGAACUGCGUCCGAUACUGAAAGGCUUGAAUCCGGGAGAGGGAUGUGGAAUUCCAGGUGUAGCGGUGAAAUGCGUAGAUAUCAGGAGGAACACCGAUGGCGAAGGCAGGUCUCUGGGCCACUACUGACGCUGAGAAGCGAAAGCGUGGGGAGCGAACAGG